CCGGCCCCCUUAUAAUAUAUGUAGAUUAAUAAGA
rnacentral:tRNA from 1 species